rnacentral:lncRNA from 1 species
CCGCCCAGAACGAGCUCUCCGCCAACCACCAUCGUCGCCGGAGAUCCGACCCACCCCCGCAGCCUCCGCCGCCUCUCGUGUUCCCCCGUUCCAGCUCCCCUUACGUUUCCCACCGUCGAUCCGUCGGAUUCGACGCCUCCCCUGCCCACCCCCACCCCCACCACAACACGCGGUUCUUCAGCACCCCGCAGGUCGGCCCCACCUUCGGCGAUGCGGCCGAUGGCGGCCGGUUCGGCGAGAUCAGCGGCGGACGCAGGCGCAGGUUCUCUUUUAGGACCUUCUUCGGGCAUCACAGGUCGGAUGAGGCGGAGCC